AACUUUAUAGUCAAUAUUGAUAUUAGAUUGCAAAUCUAAAGGAGUAAAUUAAUUACUAAAGUUU
rnacentral:tRNA from 1 species